rnacentral:rRNA from 1 species
CAGUGGAGUAUGUGGUUUAAUUCGAAGCAACGCGAAGAACCUUACCAGGUCUUGACAUCCCCCUGAAUCACCUAGAGAUAGGUGCGGCCUUCGGGACAGGGGAGACAGGUGGUGCAUGGUUGUCGUCAGCUCGUGUCGUGAGAUGUUGGGUUAAGUCCCGCAACGAGCGCAACCCUUGAAUUCAGUUGCCAGCACCUCGGGUGGGCACUCUGAAUUGACUGCCGGUGACAAACCGGAGGAAGGCGGGGAUGACGUCAAAUCAUCAUGCCCCUUAUGACCUGGGCUACAUACGUACUACGAUGGCCGGUACAACGGGCCGCGAAGCCGCGAGGCGGAGCCAAUCCUUAAAAGCCGGUCUCAGUUCGGAUUGCAGGCUGCAACUCGCCUGCAUGAAGUCGGAAUUGCUAGUAAUCGCGGAUCAGCAUGCCGCGGUGAAUACGUUCCCGGGUCUUGUACACACCGCCCGUCACACCACGAGAGUUUACAACACCCGAAGUCGGUGGGGUAACCCGCAAGGGAGCCAGCCGCCGAAGGUGGGGUAGAUGAUUGGGGUGAAGUCGUAACAAGGUAACCGU